GAUGAACGCUGGCGGCGUGCCUAAUACAUGCAAGUCGAGCGAACAGACGAGGAGCUUGCUCCUCUGACGUUAGCGGCGGACGGGUGAGUAACACGUGGAUAACCUACCUAUAAGACUGGGAUAACUUCGGGAAACCGGAGCUAAUACCGGAUAAUAUAUUGAACCGUAUGGUUCAAUAGUGAAAGACGGUUUUGCUGUUACUUAUAGAUGGAUCCGCGCCGCAUUAGCUAGUUGGUAAGGUAACGGCUUACCAAGGCGACGAUGCGUAGCCGACCUGAGAGGGUGAUCGGCCACACUGGAACUGAGACACGGUCCAGACUCCUACGGGAGGCAGCAGUAGGGAAUCUUCCGCAAUGGGCGAAAGCCUGACGGAGCAACGCCGCGUGAGUGAUGAAGGUCUUCGGAUCGUAAAACUCUGUUAUUAGGGAAGAACAAAUGUGUAAGUAACUAUGCACGUCUUGACGGUACCUAAUCAGAAAGCCACGGCUAACUACGUG
rnacentral:rRNA from 1 species